rnacentral:lncRNA from 1 species
UGUGAGGAGGCGAAAUGCUCGAACACGUGUCGUGAGAAGCACGGAACAGAGAACAAUCUCAAGUCUGAAUGCAUCGAUGGCGUCUGCACCUGUACUUGGAACAAAAAAUGCGAGCUGUCUGCAUGCGAAACAUAUUGCAAGAAAGUUUACGCCGGAAAGCCCAACAUUGAAUGGAACUGCGAGGCAGACAAGUGCUACUGCAAGUGGCAUGGAGUGGUGCGAGGUCCGGCGCCGGGCUCGUCUGGCUCUGAUGGUGCGAAACGUGAGGAGAGGCUCCACCUGGUGGAGAGUGACUCGUUCUACCUAGAGAAAGAGGUUCAGUUUUCCGAUGCGAAAAAAGCCGCACAGUGACCUGCUAACGGCUCGGCAUCUUCCUGGUGUCAAACAUUUGCAACAAAAA